GACGAACGCUGGCGGCGUGCUUAACACAUGCAAGUCGAACGGUGAAGCGCCUUCCUUUUUGGUGGGUGUGGAUGAGUGGCGAACGGGUGAGUAACACGUGAGUAACCUGCCCCCUUCUUCUGGAUAACCGCAUGAAAGUGUGGCUAAUACGGGAUAUUCUGGGUCUGUCGCAUGAUGGGUCUGGGAAAGAUAUUGUUUCGGUGGGGGAUGGGCUCGCGGCCUAUCAGCUUGUUGGUGGGGUGAUGGCCUACCGAGGCGGUGACGGGUUGCCGGCCUGAGAGGGUGGACGGGCCAAGUGGGGAAGCGACCCCGCCCAGACUCCGAAGGGAGGCAGCAGGGGAGAAUAUUGAACAAUGGGGGACAGGCUGCAGCCGCGGCGCCGCGGGGGGGAUGGAGGCCCUUGGGUUGUGAACCCCUUUCGGCAGUGAAGGAGGGCUAGCUCGUUUGUUGGUGGGUUGACGGUAGCUGGAGAAGAAGCGCCGGCUAACUACGUG
rnacentral:rRNA from 1 species